UACGUAGGGUGCAAGCGUUGUCCGGAAUUAUUGGGCGUAAAGAGCUCGUAGGCGGUCAGUCGCGUCUGCUGUGAAAACUCGGGGCUUAACUCCGGGCCUGCAGUGGGUACGGGCUGACUAGAGUGCGGUAGGGGAGACUGGAAUUCCUGGUGUAGCGGUGAAAUGCGCAGAUAUCAGGAGGAACACCGGUGGCGAAGGCGGGUCUCUGGGCCGAUACUGACGCUGAGGAGCGAAAGCGUGGGGGAGCGAACAGG
rnacentral:rRNA from 1 species